rnacentral:rRNA from 1 species
AAGAAGGCCUUCGGGUUGUAAAGCACUUUCAGUGAGGAAGAAAGCUUGUCGGUUAAUACCCGGCAAGGACGACAUCACUCACAGAAGAAGCACCGGCUAACUCCGUGCCAGCAGCCGCGGUAAUACGGAGGGUGCGAGCGUUAAUCGGAAUUACUGGGCGUAAAGCGUGCGUAGGCGGCUUGGUAAGCCGGUUGUGAAAGCCCCGGGCUCAACCUGGGAACGGCAUCCGGAACUGUCAGGCUAGAGUGCAGGAGAGGAAGGUAGAAUUCCCGGUGUAGCGGUGAAAUGCGUAGAGAUCGGGAGGAAUACCAGUGGCGAAGGCGGCCUUCUGGACUGACACUGACGCUGAGGUACGAAAGCGUGGGUAGCAAACAGGAUUAGAUACCCUGGUAGUCCACGCCGUAAACGAUGUCGACUAGCCGUUGGGGUCCUCGAGACCUUUGUGGCGCAGUUAACGCACUAAGUCGACCGCCUGGGGAGUACGGCCGCAAGGUUAAAACUCAAAUGAAUUGACGGGGGCCCGCACAAGCGGUGGAGCAUGUGGUUUAAUUCGAUGCAACGCGAAGAACCUUACCUACCCUUGACAUCGUGCGAACUUGGUAGAGAUACCUUGGUGCCUUCGGGAGCGCACAGACAGGUGCUGCAUGGCUGUCGUCAGCUCGUGUUGUGAAAUGUUGGGUUAAGUCCC